UACGAAGGGGGCUAGCGUUGUUCGGAAUCACUGGGCGUCAAGCGCACGUAGGCUGAUUUUUAAUUCAUUGGUGAAAUCCCGAGGCUCAACCUCGGAACUGCCUUUGAUACUGGAGAUCUUGAGUCCGGAAGAGGUAAGUGGAACUGCGAGUGUAGAGGUGAAAUUCGUAGAUAUUCGCAAGAACACCAGUGGCGAAGGCGGCUUACUGGUCCGGAACUGACGCUGAGGUGCGAAAGCGUGGGGAGCAAACAGG
rnacentral:rRNA from 1 species